rnacentral:rRNA from 1 species
CCCUUAGAUGUUCUGGGCCGCACGCGCGCUACAAUGAUGAAUUCAACGAGUUUAUAACCUUGGUUGAAAAGCCUGGGUAAUCUUUUGAACUUUCGUCGUGAUGGGGCUAGACCCUUGCAAUUAUUGGUCUCCAACGAGGAAUUCCUAGUAAACGCAAGUCAUCAGCUUGCAUUGAUUACGUCCCUGCCCUUUGUACACACCGCCCGUCGCACCUACCGAUUGAAUGGUCCGGUGAAAUCUUCGGAUUGAGACUUUGUUUUCUUCACGGAAAACGCUGUUUUAAAAAGUUGAUUAAACCUUACCAUUUAGAGGAAGGUGAAGUCGUAACA